CCUCCUGCAGCCUCCUGCGCCCCGCCGAGCUGGCGGAUGGAGCUGCGCAGCGGGAGCGUGGGCAGCCAGGCGGUGGCGCGGAGGAUGGAUGGGGACAGCCGAGAUGGCGGCGGCGGCAAGGACGCCACCGGGUCGGAGGACUACGAGAACCUGCCGACCAGCGCCUCCGUGUCCACCCACAUGACAGCCGGAGCGAUGGCCGGGAUCCUGGAGCACUCGGUCAUGUACCCGGUGGACUCGGUGAAGACACGAAUGCAGAGUUUGAGUCCAGAUCCCAAAGCCCGGUAUACAAGUAUCUACGGAGCCCUCAAGAAAAUCAUGCGGACUGAAGGCUUCUGGAGGCCCUUGCGGGGCGUCAACGUCAUGAUCAUGGGUGCAGGGCCGGCCCACGCCAUGUAUUUUGCCUGCUAUGAAAACAUGAAAAGGACUUUAAAUGACGUUUUCCACCACCAAGGAAACAGCCACCUAGCCAACGGUAUUUUGAAAGCAUUUGUCUGGAGUUAGAAAGUUCUCUUCUUCAACACGUCCCUCCCCAGGGUGUUCCUCCCUGUGACCCAGCCGCCUCGACUUCGGCCCGCUUGCUCACGAAUAAAGAACUCAGAGUUGUGUGUGCAACGCACACCCAGACACACGCACACACACGCGCGCGCACACACAUGGUUUUUUCUGUUCCCCUCCGCUUUCUGAAGCCUGGGGAGAAAUCAGUGACAGAGGUGUUUUGGUUUUACUGUUAUGUGGGUUUUCUUUUCUAUUUUUUUGUUUGUUUUGUUUUUAAACAUUCAAAAGCAAUUAAUGAUCAGACAUAGGAGAAACCCUGAAUAGAAACAAAACUUUUGAAUGCUGGAUUCAAAAAAAAAAAAAGUUAUCUGGACAGCUUCUUUGAGACUAUUUAAAAACUGGUACAACAGGUCUCUACAACGCCAAGAUCUAACUAAGCUUUAAAAGGUCAAGAAGUUUUAUGGCUGACAAAGGACUCGCGCAACGCAGAAGGCCUUUCCCACCUUAAGCUUCCGGGGAUUUGGGAAUUUUACCCCCAUUCUCUUCUGUUUGUCUGAGUCUCAUCUCUCUGCAAGCAAGGGCUGAAAUCAUUUUGUUUGGUUGUUUUGAGGGAGAAAGGCGGGGUGGGGGGGUGCAAAUCUGCCAGCAGCUCUUACAUAAGGCCUGUUUUAUUGGGGAGGGCUGAGCUUUUAUUUUCUCCUCUCCAGUGGGGUUGGCUUUUGUUGUUUCUUGUUUGGGUUUGGAAUGGAAAUAUGGAUAGCAGCAUAAAGUACUUUUAUUUUGACAAAAUUCAUUUUUUUCAACAAUGGAGACAUAGAUAUGACCAACAAUAACUUCUCCCCCUCUCUUUUUACUCUGCUCAAAAAGCAUCUCUCCUCCCAUUACCCAACCUUGGUCAUAAGUGUGCCUGGCUGGUUUGCAGAUACUUGUUUUGCUUUGUAAAAAUUGGCCAUUAGUGCAUUUAUUGAGAUGAUCUCUAAAGAGCUAUGCCCUGACCUACCCCUGAUUCUAUGACAUUGGGGCCCUUCUUUUGCUGAAACUGCCUUAUGUAACGGUUUCGCUCCUUGAAAGAGAUUUGACGGAAUCCAUUUUAUGCCAAGUGCUGCCCUGCGCUGUUUCUGCAAUGUGUGGUGUAUGCUGUGGUGAUCUCGCUGGGAAUGAUUAUAAGUGUGUGUGUGGUGGGGGAGUGGGUAUUACAUGCAUUGCUGAAGAGUCAUCCUGGUGUUCCUCAUUCCUCCCCCUUCCCGUGGUCAUUUUAAUUACGGGGCAGUGUCACCGCAAAGGGAGGAAACUCAAAGCCAAAAGCAAAAUUCCAGGCCUGAUUCUGGCUUUUGAGGUUCCUGGUUCUUGAAGCCAGGCCUGACCCGACUCUCAGAUGGGGUCAGUCCCGUCGCUUUGCAGACUGACCCUGGAAAUCUACAAAAUGCAGAUUCUCCUGAUUUCCUCUUCUCUUGCCCAGUUUUUUUUUUUUUUUUUUUUUUAAAGCCUGGAUUUUAACCAGAUUUUCUUUUUUCCCCCUUCUCAGCUGUAGAUAUGAUAUUAUCUCCUUUCAGGGCCCCAGCUUAAGGGCAAAGUGAGUUAAUGUGUAGACAAAGGCAAGGGACGAGAGAGAGUUAACAUCUAGACAGUGGAAAAAGCCAUGGUGUGUGGUUUCUGGGAACCACCAACACUUGCAGGUUUAGGUUUUUCCCAGGGUUGACUACAAGAAAGAAAACCAUAUUUUUGCAAGAUUAAAAUGUGGGUGAGUGUGCCUAAAUUAACCAUCCCCAUUUUUAUCAUAUUUCCAGCAUCACUUUAGGGUUUUAAGAGUCAGUGCUCACCUGGGCGGAGCUGGUAGUACAUUUUGCUUCUUAGAAAGCUAAGUCCUGGGUUCCGUCUGAUUUUAGGUUCCAGGAACUUCCUGAGAACACCUGAUCGCAGAGGGUAAUUUUCUGGAGUUUGUUUUGCAGGGAUAGCUGGGAGUAUGGCCACCCUGCUCCACGAUGCGGUAAUGAAUCCAGCAGAAGUGGUGAAGCAGCGCUUGCAGAUGUACAACUCGCAGCACCGGUCAGCAAUCAGCUGCAUCCGGACGGUGUGGAGGACCGAGGGGUUGGGGGCCUUCUACCGGAGCUACACCACACAGCUGACCAUGAACAUCCCCUUCCAGUCCAUCCACUUCAUCACCUACGAGUUCCUGCAGGAGCAGGUCAACCCCCACCGGACCUACAACCCGCAGUCCCACAUCAUCUCAGGCGGGCUGGCCGGGGCCCUCGCCGCGGCCGCCACGACCCCCCUGGACGUCUGUAAGACCCUUCUCAACACUCAGGAGAACGUGGCCCUCUCGCUGGCCAACAUCAGCGGCCGGCUGUCGGGCAUGGCCAAUGCCUUCCGGACGGUGUACCAGCUCAACGGCCUGGCCGGCUACUUCAAAGGCAUCCAGGCGCGUGUCAUCUACCAGAUGCCCUCCACUGCCAUUUCUUGGUCUGUCUAUGAGUUCUUCAAGUACUUCCUCACCAAGCGCCAGCUGGAAAAUCGAGCUCCAUACUAAAGGAACAGGCUGUGGGAAGGGAUCAUAGAAUCUUUUCUUAAAGUCAUUCUCUGCCUGCAUCCAGCCCCUUGCCCUCUCCUCACACCUAGAUCAUUUUUGUUUUUGCAGGGUGCUGCCUAUGGGCCCUCUGCUCUCCAAUGCCUUAGAGAGAGGAGGGGACGGGACGGCCGCUCACCGGAAGGCUGUCUGCAGGGACAUCCGAGGUGGUGGUGGACAGGAAAGACUUGGGAAGGGGAGCGAGAAAUUGCUUUUUCUCUUCCUCCCUGGGCAGAAUGUAGCUUUUCUGCUUCACUGUGGCAGCCUCCUCCCUGGAUCCUUAGAUCCCAGAGGAGGGAAGAAAAUUUGCAGUGACCGAAAACAGUAAAAAAAAAAA
rnacentral:sRNA from 1 species